rnacentral:lncRNA from 1 species
GGAAAAAGAGGGAGGAGGGCAGAUAUGUUGGAGACAGACACAGACAGACAGGAAAGGACAGAGACAGACACAUGGUACCCAAGGGUAGACAGAACAAAGGCAGACACAAAGGGGCCAGAAACCUGUGCUGGUGGGCAGAUUGAGUUAAAGGUCUUUUCUCUGAGCAUUGGAGUGAGGAGUGAUAACCAUCUCUUCGAAAGGACUGAACCCCUGGUCUUCACCCUCCAUGAAGCGGGGAAUGGGGGAAUAUGAGAUUAAAGGUGGUUCACGGUGAAUCUCCCAAUGUAAGGCUGUAAGGAUGAAUGGGAGUGGUAUCAAGAACAUCAAGACAAUGCCUAUCAUAUAGGAAGUGCUUAAUAAAUGCUUAUUAUUGACUAAUAUGGAAAUAUGU